rnacentral:rRNA from 1 species
UACGAAGGGGGCUAGCGUUGCUCGGAUUGACUGGGCGUAGAGGGCGCGUAGGCGGUUCGUACAGUCAGACGUGAAAUUCCUGGGCUCAACCUGGGGGCUGCGUUUGAUACGUGCGGGCUUGAGUUCGGAAGAGGGUCGUGGAAUUCCCAGUGUAGAGGUGAAAUUCGUAGAUAUUGGGAAGAACACCGGUGGCGAAGGCGGCGGCCUGGUCCGAUACUGACGCUGAGGCGCGAAAGCGUGGGGAGCAAACAGG